CUGCCUGGGGCUGUUGUGACCCAAGGACAGGACCCGGCACUUGGCCUUGUUGAACCUCACAGCACUGGCCUCAGGCCAUCGAUGCAGCCUGUCCAGAUCCUCUGCAGAGCCUUCCUGCCCUCCAGCAGAUCAACACUCCCACCUAAUGUGCUGUCACCUGCAAACUGAGUUCCAUUAAUCAGGGCUAGCCCCAAAACUGAGCCCUGCAGAACUCCACUAGUGACCAUCCAUAUGGAUAAAACUGCAUUAAGCAUCACUCCCUGUGUCCAGCUAGCCAGACAGCUUUUUAUCCAGUGAAGAGUGCACCUGUCCAAGCCAUGGAACAUGGCAUUCACAUCAUAGCACUGAAGAUUUUUCUAUGUUUUCUAAACAACCAAGACAGCCCUUGUGAAGGAAAAAAAGUUCAUCAUCCAGUAUGAUCCUGAAGUUUUUUCCUUUCUCUCUCUCCCUCUCUCUCUCUAGAAAUCGUGUGUUCUGCAUCAACAGAUCACAAGGGCAACAGAAAAGCUCAUCUUAGUAAAAAACCGAAUUGUUUCUUCUUUUGAUACAGGAUGAUACAGGAGGGAGACCAUACUAAAAGUGGCAGCAACUGAAGAGCUGAACAGCCCUCUGACAUAUAUACCACCUUCUUCCACAGAGACCAGACCAGCCUUAAUGAUGAAUCCUUUUAUUUAUAUUAAUCAGAUUUUAAAAAAGACUUGCACCAAUUAACACUGUGCAGGAACAUCACUUCAUUGCCAACACAACAAUGUGUACCUACCACAAAAAAUGGAAUCCUCUUUGGUGGUGCUUUGAAUGUUCAGUUGCAAGAAAACACCAACAACCUACUAUACUCCUGUGUAUAGAAGAUCUAUCUUUUAGAAAAGAGGCCAGCAGAACAGUCCUGCAAGACCUGUAGCACAGACCACAGGUGACACAAAAGCUCUGCUCUGCAGACAGACACCACAGGUAAAGUAACAACUCAACUUCUGUGCUUAUGCUCAAGUAAUAUUGAGUGCAUGGCUGCCGUGGCCAAAGGAAGUCAACAUUUGUUCAAGGUUUGUUCCUAGCACAUUUCUGAUUUACACGAGAAGCACUCUCAGUCUUAUUUCUGUGAAUGCCAGAAAACAGAAUGACUAUAUAAAAUACACCCCAGAACUUCACAUGAAUUGUUUAAAAACCCCCUCCAAACCCAACUAUUCAAAAUACAAAAUACAGCAUGGUUACAGGAUGAACAAAGAUCUCUAUGUUCCCAGCUCAUGUAGGAGAAAAUACUAACAGGGCACUGACCAUGGAGAACCUCCAGAAACUACUUUCUCUCUCUGUCCAGGCCCACAUACCACCCACUUCCAUAAAUCCCAGAAUUACUACUGUUAGCUGGCACAGCAUUCAGUUUGCCAGUUAUUGUUUAUGAAAACCAGACAUGAAGAACAUCAUUCUUACCACCUUCCUGCUGUGCCUGGAAAUGUUUUGAUAACAGCCACAGCGAUGAGCCUGGGCUGGCAGGUGGGCAGGGCAUCACUGCCAGUUCUGUGCUGCUGCAAUGGACAGGCUGGAGCUGCAGUGUGAACUCGAGCUGAAGGCACUGUGACCUGUAGACCGUGGGAGCAGGUACCCCUCAAAGCAUCUGGCCGUGGUUGUGACUGUGCCACAGCAGGUACACCUCUGGAGGGAUUAUGGCCCAUGCAGGCCACACUGGAGCAGGUGUGGCAGGAGUAAAUCUACUGAGUAAAUCUACGCUGCAGCAGGUAUAGCCUGAGGAGACUGUGGCUCACAGAUAUGGCUCCACUUGAAGUAGGUACAGCCCUAAGGUACUGCAGACGAUGGGUAAAUCCAAGCUGGAGCAGGGGCAUGGGGAGCACUUCACUGCACUGUCAAACCGUGACACAUUUGACUCGAUCAUCUUGAGGGUCUUUACCAAUAUAAAUGAUGCUAUUGUUCUUAGCCUAAGACAUGGCAUUGUUUUCCAACACAGGGAACAUUAACAUAUGCAGCAACUCUGGCUAAAAUGGAACAUAAACACUAUCAAGGCUUCUGUGCAAAACCUCACUUACAGGCCACAGCACCAAGAAGGGAAGGAGGAAGAGAUAACAAACAGUUGUACUGUACUCACUCCUUCCUCACAAUGAAAUGCCUGCUCUACAUGCUGUUAUCAAACAAAAAGGAAAAAAAAAAAAAAGAACAACUCAAGAAACUCUGGUAUAAAAAAAAAAAAGCCAAAAAAUAACCCUCUACACUGUAACACACUAACUCUUACCUGCAAUUUAAUUCUACAAUUGUAACUUAGAGCAAAAGACAGGGAACUCUGCAACCCAUUCAGAAGUUUAAUAAGCCUGAGCCCUUUACACUGAAGCAGAAUACAGGUGGAUACUUACUCAAGUGUCCCCUAAUGCCAGUGGAAAGACUGAAACUUUCAUCUUUUGCACUGACCCCACAGUCAUUCUGGGAUGGACCCUAAAGAUAAGCCCAAUUACUUGGAACCCGACCAGCCCAUUGCCAGAUCUGCUGAUUGACCACUAUUCAGCACAGGUCACUGUAGCACAAAACUAUAGAUCUAAGCAAUGUUUAUUUAGUCCAACUUCUUUCUUGCCAAGACCAGAGAUAAGAAAUAGAGAAAAAACACACUGGUGUGCCCUGUUUUGUGGUCCACCCCUAAAAGAUCUGUCCAUGAUCUUCAACAGGCUAACACUCCUGCGUCCAGGAUUGCCAUGGCCUAACCCACAGAGAGCGACCCAGCGGGACUGCCAGGCUGGGCUGGCACAAGCACACACUCACCUGCUCGGGUUGCCCACUCCUGUGUGGCAGCAGCAGCUUGGGGAGUCCGGCAGGGCCACUGGCAGGCACUUCAUGUGACACGGUGUCAGGGUGCAGCACAGACUCACCUUCCCACCUCCCCGCGGGUUACCUGCCAACAGGCUGGAAUAAGCUCUUGGCGAGAUGAGGGAAGGCUGCACAGAGCCCUCGGCAGUCAGGGCUUACAUAACCCUGCCAGCACAGGUUGGGUGCAGCCCAGCUGGUGGAGUCUCACAUGAAAUCUACUGUCUGCAAUGUACAGAGUAUAUGGAAAAGAAAAUCAACAUAACAGAAACCAAACUAAGCAAGUACAUAAAGACUUGCAAACUAGAAACUAAAAUUGUAGGGGGGGGAGUGGUGCAGGGAGACAACUCCUUUCAUCCUUUCAUAGCACUGCUGAUAAAACAUGUAGAAAGAGAAUUUAAAUGAAUUAGUCUUUUGUACAGAAAUUAAUUGUGCAGAAAAUAGCACUAAAAACAGACAAAAAAUUUAUUAGUAAAACCCAUUGAUUUCCCAGGUCUUUGAAAUACAUGGGAGGGAUUCAUUUGAAGUCUGACUAUUUGAAAUUAAAUUUACCAUUUCAAAACUUUAGUCUGGCCAGGCUAUUUUAUUUCUUUCUUUGAGGUUCAUGCAAAUUACAUCAAUUUCCCUCAGAAUUGCUCUUCCAAGAUAAAAUCAAUUUCCAGUAAGUAUGUAUUUCUGAGUCAACAGAGAUGCAACAAAGUCUUUAUUAGCCCUUUAACUAACAGAAAAAAAUUACAUCUAACUUGGUUAUUUCUCUAAACAUUAGUUUGACUCCUUUUUUUGGUGAAAAUAAAAAAAAAAUUCUAGAUAAAGCAAGCUAUAGUCCAAGAAGUAAGAAACAAGCAAAACAGGCUGAAAUCACUAAAGAAAUCCGUCUUCACUUCCAUCAAGAAAUAUUGCAUAUUUAGGCAGAUAUGCAUUGCUAAGAAGACAGCCUACAAUAAAAUUACCCUGUCAUUUUCAAGGAAGAGAAAUUUUAAAUGUGCUCCCAUACAAGGGCAACAGAACGUUUUCUGGUUCAUAUUGCCUAUCACAGUUUUCUUUCACUAUCCCCACUUACUUAGUAGUUGGGCCUUAAAAGCAGAAACAACUUGGGUUACCUCUAACAAGGUAAUCAAAUUUAGUUGCAUCACUUUAUAUGCACUACUCAAAAGUACUGAGUAAUAAAGGGCUAAGCAUGUUAAGGUCAUUUUUCAAUGUAACUGGGCAGAAGAUAAGCAGAUGGUAUUAUUCUCCAAGGACCUACUUGAAAAUACAUAAAUCCUGCACUGCACUUUGAAAUAUACUUUAUACUGACUGGAGUUUCCAGUUUUUCAGGACAAUCUCUAAGACACUUGAGAUUUACCCUGAAUCAGUAUUAAGAAAACACUGCAUUACAGUAAUUACAUUUCUCACUAAUAGAAGACACAGAUGUAGAAAUAUAAUACCCACAUAAAGUGUCAGGAAAGCAGCAUCAUAAAGACUGUCUCCUUAGUUUUAAAAAUGCUGAAGAACUAUCCCCUGAAAGUGUUGUUGCAACUUCUCUGUCUCUGUCCACUUUAAAUAUCCUGAAGUGGCUGCAGCUUUGAGAACUUAUUGAGCUUUUAGAGAAAAAAAAUCUAGAUAGAAAGACAGGUAAAUAUCUGCAUUUCUCAUCUCACUGACCAUUAGACUGGAAAUAUCUAGAAUACACCUGAAAACAACACAGAAAACAGUCCCAGACAUAUUUCUCUAGUAAUGUAAGAGUGUGCCACCUUCUCAAACUGAAGGGGUCCCCUUCCCAUGCAGACCACAUGCCCUUCUCACCAGCUUCCACCUCUGGAACGUUAUUUGGGUACCACAUGCUGAAAAACCUUGCAGUGCACUGCUUCCAGGUUUGCCAUCCAUAUAACCUCCUCAAGCUUUGCAAGCACAGAGCUACAGAGCAGGAGAAUAAGCACAAGCUCCCCAGCGUUGCUAAAGCUUUGAUUACUGCUGAAGCUCUGGAAACUGGCUAAUGCAUAGCAGAUCUUCAAGAUGAAGCAAGGAGCUUAGCAGGAAGAAAUCUGAUCUUAUUUGACAUCCUACAGGUCACAAGUCAUUAAUCUCUGUAUAUCAAAGACAUCUUUCACUAAGAUUCCUCUUCCACUGGACUGAGAACAGAAUAGGUAUUUUUGAAACUUGGAUCUAGAGAAACAGUACAAAGGCAGCAAGAAACACUCAAGACAGCCUACUGCAGAUUGAAAUGUUCUAUCAGCUUUAUCAGUCUGGUGCAUAUCCUAAGUGAGGAAUAUUAACCCAAUCAAGAUAAAGCACAACCCUAGAUUUUAGUCUUCUUUUGCAACUUCGACUUCAGUAUUGCAGCUUUAUGCUUCACGUGCAUCCUAGGUUUCCUUUACAAGCCUUUUUUUUGCUGGCUUUUUUUUUUUUUUUUCUUUUUCCUUUUUAACUGACCUGGAUUUAGAACACUGAAAAAUUCAUAAUGCUCUCUCAAAUUGAAUUUCCAAGUGCAGCAGUGUGUGCUGAGGAACCUGCCAGCACAUUUAGGCAACUGACCUCUCCUGCUGAGAGGAUCAGCAGAGCACACAGUAUUUGACGGCAGGCGCAGACCAAUACCCUGGGAAACUGCAGAAGAGGAACACUUGCAGAGCUCCAAGGAAUACAGACCUUGCUACUGAUCCACUGAAAGAGUUGUAUGAGAAAGCUGCUACAUCUCAAAUCCCUAAAACACAUGCUACUUUUCAUAUCACAUUUAAACAGCAAAAACUAUCCUAAAUUGAAUGAAUAUUAAUGUUAAUAUAUUUUGCUAGCAUUUAAUUUCAUUAGCUAAUAUUAUAGACAUUUGUUGAGUAUCUGUCCUGGGACUCAGAUUAUUAUUAUUAUUAUUAUUACUGCAGUUCUCACUAUUAUUAUUACUGUGAAAAUGAAGGGUUAUGUGAACUAUGUUUCCUUAGAAAGAACAAAACAAAUCUGAGUAAAACAUAUUGUAACAGUUAAUACUUUGUUAAAAUGGCAACAUUAAAUGUUCAAGUUUAGGGAAGAGAUUUUGACAAAUCUGCAAAAAUAGAAAUUAAGAAUAAGUCCAUGGUUUUACAUGUAACUCUAUCAUUACAUAUAACUCUAUGGUAUUACACAGAUUCUAAUUACAUUCCAUGAUUUCAGGGAGCAUAGAUUCACUAAGGAAGCAGAAAGCAAAUAUAUUCAGAAGUACAGCAAAAACAAAUUUUAGAACAUCUUUCAGCUAUAAUCUUCCCUGUAAGCAUCCACUCCCAUGACACAGUUCUGUGGACAACCACCACACACAUAACACAAUCCAAAAUCCUAAAUUCAUUUAAAAGUCUAUAACUAAGAGACUCCAGUUUCCCACCUUCUCUCAAUCUUUACCUUAAAGAAAUCUGCAGGAGAAUUUCAGAUUAGAAUUCAGAAAUGUAUCUGUGACUAGAGGUAUGAAGACAACUUUAUAAGCGAUUCCUAUUAGACUGAAGUUCUGAAAUAGCAAUCUCUUUUUAAAUAGACAACAAUGUAAUGCUGCUAGCGUUUCAUUCACUGACUAAUCUCUCCUGGAUUUGCUUAAUGCUACACCCCUUUCCAUCAGCCUUCUAUCAGCUCAAGGAAAAGCAGCUGCCUGAGUGCAGCAGAACUCAAUGAAAAGGAAAAAACUCUAAUUUCAUUUUACUUUGUAAAGUGGGGGGGGUGGGGGGGGGGAGGGGAAGGCAAUAGGAAAACAAGUUGAAUUAGUACAUAACUAGUGUCUAAGAGAAAAGAGAAAGAAAAGAGAAAGAAAAUGAAUAGAGUCAAAAUAUUUUAAGUCUAUACUACUUUAAUGGUGUAAUUUGCUAGAGCACAACUUUUUUUUUCCAUUUAUCACUGUAAUUAAGCUAUAAAAUUUAUUGAGUGGGAGUUUUGUUGAGACACUCAAGAAUGAAACUGCUGUUUAAGUGGUACAUAUGUGAAAUUAUUUGCCAGCAGGCAAACAUACUGAGGGAAAAAAAUGGCUUUAAAACCAUAGUGAUGCUUUUGUAUACUACUAAAGGCACAAUGUCACUAGUGGUUCAUAUAAUUGUGCAUUUAAAAACAUAAAGUUAUAAAACCUGUUAAGGUUUCCAGGACAGCUUUUGUGAAUAGAGAAAAAUGGGGACGAGAGAGAGAGGAACAGUCUGUUCAGUUUUUCCAAACCCAGCAGGCUAACACAUGGAGGCCAGCAAGAUAAAACAAGAAAUGCUUAUGUUGCUCUGAGAUCUGCAAAAAGCACAGCUGGCAAUCCAGAAGGUCCUAUUCUCUCCAGACAACCCCUGACUUGUCAGGUGCUGGGCAGGAUAACAUCCUUGGCAGGAUGUCACCUGCUGUCAGGAUGACAGUCAAAGCCUCUGGCAGUAAAAGGCCAAGUUCUCAUGAGCUGGGUGCAUCACCCCAAGCUCAAAGGCAAGAUGGCAACACUUUUUCUGGAGAAAGGGCACCCUUCCAUCUUCGUAAUUAUUAAAAAAUGCAUCACGAGGAACUGCAGCAUCAAGACCAAAAUCAUUUCACUCUUCACAGCAUUUCAAAAAUGACAUUAUAUCAUAUUAGCAUCACAGUGUGAUAGCAGGAAAUAGGUCAGGAAACGAAGACAUGCAAAGAGUUGAAUGUUGUAAUUAUCGUAUUUUCAGGUAAAAUGGAUUUGUUUGAUCUCCUAUAUCCUCAGUCUAGUAAAUAAGUUCCAUUAAGAGUCUGAAAGCUCUCAGGGAGCAGACUCAUGAGCAGCUUUGAGGAGGUGUAUUUGAAGAAAUUCUCCAGCAAGCACCUCAGAGUAGACACAACACUGUCUUGGUAUAAUAUUACCUGGAAAUGUAUAUACCAGAGCUAGAACUGCUUUGCUGACACCAAGAUCUUAAGCCUGCAGCUUAAAGAUUAACUGAUUUUUCUGGUUCCUCCAAAGGUCUCUGACUGAACCUUCAUUGACAAUAUUUACUCUUCUGUAUCUUCACAGCAGCAUCAUUUCUCAGUUCUACAGCUGAGAGAGAAAAAGAAAGAAAAUUCAUACCUCUUGCAUCCUCUUCAUAUAAUUAGUACUUAACCCAGUUAAUCAUACCAUUUAAUCUGAUGACACCAUGCAGAGCUCAACAGGACUGAAAAGAGAUUAUUCUCAUAACCUCUAAAGAACAGGGCUGACAUAAUUUGGUUAACUGGGCCAAAGAACUUAAUAUCUUUUUCAUGUCUCUCAGUGUCCCUUAUUUUUAAACGCAGGGGCACCCCUAACCAUUCUAAAGACAAAGAUACAGUUAUUUACCAUUCUAUUAUUUAACACUGUAGAGUCGUUUAUUCAACAUAAAACCCAGAAACCCAUUAAUUUGAAAGCCUACUCCCAAUUCAGAACCAGCAUCAAGCCUGUAUCCUGCACCCCUUGCACUCUCUAUAUCUUGUGGAUAUAGAAUUCCACAACUUUUCAUAUACAUGGUACAGAACUGAACAUACACACCAUUUGUGUGAAUUGCCAAACCAAAGACAACCACUGUGCUUUCUUCUUGUUCAUGAAAAGUAAAUUAGAUGUUCAUACAGACUUAUUGUUCACUCUAGACAGUGUCACAGUUCCUGCUUUUUACUCCUGAUAAUAAUACUCCUAAUAGUCCAUUAAGAUGUUUCACAUAUUUUUCCUUUGUAACAAAAAAAUGCACAAAAUUUACUGCUUGUAUGUACAGUUCACUGUACAGAAGUAAAAGGGGUUAAGCCACCAGCUUUUGUGAUUUUUUACUGUAUGCCCAAGACAAUCAUACACAAAUGACCACAAAGAUGAAAUUGAACCUUAAAGAUUGUUAGACCACAGCAGCUAGCCUGAUGGAUGUAAUAAAAACAAUGGAGUCUCAUUUCCGAUCAAGAGGGGAUCUGUUCACAUUUUCUAUUUGAGUACCAACAAUGGAACUUCUCAUCAUGUAAAGGAGUCUUAACAAUACAUUUACAAAUUCUGGAAGUUCUUAUUACACCACUAAAUGUAAGACAGAGUUCUGAGUUUUAAGAAGUUCUGCAAUACUACUGAAUCAGAUGAAAAUAAAUUUAUACAGGGACUUCUCAUAUAGCUUGAUCAAGCUGAAUUCCCUUCCUUCAGCCCACAUGGGAAUUCCAAUUCUAACUGAGUUUUCAUGUAAUUAUUAUUUCCAAGUAAUUCAGACUUUCUUUUAAUUAUAAUUUCUGACUUAGUGGUUGAAGGAACACACAAAAAAUACUGUUAAUAGAGGCAUUUUUUACAUCCUUCUUCAGAGGUUUCACUAGAUGACCUAGUGUAUGUACUCCAAUAAUCAGACAGAACACACAUCUUUUGAGCAUGUCCCUAUUGCUUCCAUACUGAAAUGCAUUUGUCAAUCCUUCUAUUGGAAGAAUGUCUUACACAGAUGAAAAUUAUAGUAGCACACAUAAACCUUGACUGUACAAAUUGUACAAAUGAGUGCAAAUAAUCUUUAAAACUCCAGAGGCCUUGGCAGACCUCUCCUGUUCACAACCAUGAAAUCCCUUCCACACAUCAUGCUAUAUUUACUGUUGGGAGGGUUAGUGGAGACCAAAACCAAAAAAAAGUGAACCCCCAGUGCUAAAGCUGCCAAACUUCACAAAGCACUUCUGAAGGAUAAAAUUUCUGGGGAACUGUAUUGCAACCAAUUGUCAUUUCAGUGUCUACCAGCUGAAGAAGGUACAUCUGGACAAAACAAGUUCUGUUUGCUUUUAAACAAAACAAACAAAACCAACUGAAUCCAGGUCAAAAGAACUUUUGAAAAAUAGUCUUGUGACUGGAGCACUUACAUAGACUUUAGUGAUGUAUCUGAAUCCCUGUUCUGAACUCAGAAGAAGGAAUUCAGAUGUAGUCUUUCAAUGUACUGCCACUGCUCAACUAUUCUAUAAGCAUUGAAAACCAUUAAAGCAAAUUUCUAGAAAGCUGUAGAGAGGGCAAUUCAAUGGCUGUGAUGCAGAUCCAUGUAGCAAUUUACAUGUAUGCAACUAUCACAUCCUCAUGUGAAGGAAAGUUAAGAAAUAAUUUCUCAACAUCUGGCUUAUGGGCACAGCUCUAUGAAAGACACUUGAAUAAAGUAGUGUGAUAUUUAGCAAUAAUUAGUCCUCAGUUUCAAUGUGUUUCUUCUGUUAAGUACAGAAGUUUCAGCAACUCCGAUAUAUAUAGUCCCAUAAAUAUUCAAUAUACUUUGGUUAAUGUCUAUAGUUUCAUGUCGUGUGUAGGGCUACAGGAAUUUCUUAACUUCAGUCUUUUCUUUUUCUACCAAACAUGUUCUCAAACGGUCAUCAGAUCCUGGGUCACCAAAGACCAGCAAUGAGGAUGAUAGAAUCCACAUCUGGAAAAAGGCCAAACCCAGCUUGUAAUGAUGCUCCUGCUCUUUGGUUAUUAAGGGAAACUUGCAUUUUAUUUUUUUUUUUCUACUUAGCUAGGUUAUCAGCUGUUUCAGGUGGUAUCAAGCAGCCAAAAGGGGGUUGGGACAGAAAAGCAGGAGAGAUUAAAAAAAGAAAAAAAGCCAAAACCCAAAGCCCCAAAGAAGAACAACAAAGACAUUGAAAUAAAAUACUUCUGAAAAUCA